rnacentral:lncRNA from 1 species
ACCUAAAAAAUUUUCAAAAAAUUUAUAUUUUCCCUCCAACAUUGACCCAAAAAAAAUUCCCUCUUUGCUUUCCCUCUCAUCCUCACAUCUUUUAUUCAAUUCCCAAUUUAGAUCACCAAAAAGGGAUUUUUCUUCACGUUCUGAUAUAUUAAAACUUCCAUAUAGUUACAUCUUCAGAUCUCCAAAAAAUCAAUCAUUCUCAUCGAUUUCUUCAAUAAUAUUUUGUUUACUUUGGUCAAUUUAUAGGUAGGUUAACUGAUUUCUUUUCCCUGUAUUUAUUCGUCCAUCUCAUCUUUUUUUUAUUUGUGUGACAUGAAUUCUCCAUGGAGAUCGAAUCAAACUUCUUUGUUUUGGGUAUUUUUAGUUGUUUUUGCAACAAAGAUCCGUCUCUAUCAUCGAUGCUUUGGCAGUUGUGGUGAAUUUUGAGACCAAUUUUUGCUUAAUUUUGGCAAUAAUUAGGGUUUCGCUUAGUUUAUCUUUGUUGAUUUUUUGUUCUAAAAUCCAUCUGUGCAUCUUGUUUUGUUUGUUUAACUGUACGUGCUGAUAAUUGUAUGGGGGUUUACCUUUUGUUCUUCAAAUAAGAAAUUAAAUAAUUGAGAGAACUCCAAGUAUUCAAAAUGCACAAUUUGAAUUAUAUAUGUUGACAAUUCACAAACUUGUCCAUUUCAUAUUUCCAUUGAAGUGUUUCUUAGUUUUUUUUGAAGGUUGCAGAAGACUGGAAUUGGGUUUGCUAUGUGUAUAUUGAUAUUUUUUUUUUGGGGUGGGGGGGGGGGGGGGUUGUUUGUCAGUAAAAUUGCUAUUCAAAUUUGGUCUUUUGUUAGAUAAAUAGAUUACAACCUUGAAUUCGUAGUUCACUUGUGCCUUAACUGAAUUGGGUUUGCUAUUCUAGGGCUAGCUAGCUAUUGAUUAUGAUCCCUUAUAUAUUAAAUGAGGGUUUAUAUGUCUACUUGAAUCUCUUUGUAUAGUUCUUCUCUGUAUCUUUGUACCUUAUUACCUUUACCAGAUGUGAUAUGAUAUUUAGUGUUCUUAUUUACUCGCUCUAUGAGAUUCUUUUGAUCCCAACUACUAAUAGUGCCAUUUGGAUUUAAUUUAGUUCUAUUUUCAGUUUGAUUAAAUGGCUAUCUAUGUAUGUGGUGGUCAAUAUGCAAUCUCUAGUAUAACACAUAAACUUGUAUGAUAAUUUCAAAGAGAUACCGAGCUAGACGCUGAAACAAAAGGACCCGACUUCAAUAACUGACCAUGAUAGAAUUACACAAAAGCUGGAAGUGACAUAUGAAAGUCUAGAGUUCAUUGAGGCAUAUGUUGCAGAGUUUCGUGGUGCUUUUAUUCUUGCGGUCUCGGUUUCAUACCAAAAAUGCAAAAGAAGGCCACAAGAGCUUUUACAAGGAGGAUGGAGAAUGAGGAUAGAUUUUGCUCAUGGUCUUUUGAUUGAGCCUGCCCUUUGAUUACUUGAUGAAUAUACAGUUUGCACACAAGACCCCCUUUAUGAUAUACAAAGGAGACUAGCAGACAUUUGAAAGGACAUGAGCUUGGGCUCGGGUUCAUGCGUGUUUACUAAACAAGCUUGAUUUUAGGCAUGGGCUCGGACUCGAGCUCAUUUAAGCUUGGCUCGUUUUAAGCUUUUUUUUCGAGCCGAGCUCCCCUUGUUUGCACCCCUAAUUAUUUUGUUAUUAAAGUUUAUUGAGAUAUAAUUAAUUUUUAGUUUUCCUUUAUAGUUCAGUCUCAUGAUCCACCACAGGAACAUCAAGUCUUUUUCAUGAUAUCAUGAAUGAAAAGCUUUACAAGGAAGUAACUAUAAAGGUUGAAGUAUGCCUAGGAUGAUCCCUUGUGUGUUGCUGCCAGAUAAGAUGGGAAGAUAUUAGUCUCUAGUCUGUGGGUUGAUCACAGUUUUGAUGUCGGAGCGCCUGUGGAUACAACCUCGGUCACGAUGAUUAUUUAACUCGCAUGAAAAUUGUGAAAGAGAUUCAUGAACACAAUGAAGUUUUGAGUUUUUAUUCAUACACUUGUUAGUUUAUUUGGGUUAUAUGUUUGAUCAUUAGACUUAGAUCGACACUCAUUAGCCAUUUGGAAUCUUUGGAAGAUUGAUUGAACUUUUAAUUGAAGUGAUUAUUUUAUGAUUUCUACAUU